AUAAAUUACAUACGGGCAGAUCAUACAAAAAUGAUAACAAUGCAAUAAUUAACACGAACCCCCAAAAAACAAACAAAAAAACAACAACAAAAAACAACAACCUUACCGAAGACCGAGUUGUUCAUGAGUUUGAAGAAGUUCUUCUCGAAAGCAGUCUUGGCUUGUUGUCGCAUUUUGGUGUUGAACUCAACGUAGGGUUUCAUGAAAGCCUCUUGUUGGAACUCUAAUACUUUAUGUAUUUUUUUCAAUUUUAGACCGAGUUGGAGAUACAGUUGCAGGUUGCGAUAGUGAAGUACAUAAUUCUGUUUGUUUUCUAAUGUGGUGUGGACUUGGAGAGAGCGGUGUUCUUGCAGUCGAAGAUGGUGUAGAUAGCUGACUGUAGCUGUGCUCGUUCUGAAGUUGUGAAGUGGUGAGAAGUCCUGUUGUAUGAUCUACAUUGCUUGUUGAAGAGGAGCUUUGGGUGUCGCUGCUUGGAGGUCGAAAGACAAUCAACGUCUGAGAGGGAAAUAUGUUGGUGCGCAAUUUAUACAACUUGUUUGAAUGUGGGCUUACAUCAACGAGUAAGUAAGAGUAUUUGUUUUGUGUUGCUUUUUUAUAGGCAUCCAUAAAAUAUUUUAAAUCACCUGGAAACA